GAUUAUGGCUCAGAACGAACGCUGGCGGCAGGUCUUAGGCAUGCAAGUCGAACGGAUGACAAGGGAGCUUGCUUCCUUGAAGUCAGUGGCGCACGAGUGAGUAACGCGUGGGAAACUGCCCUUCACUGGGGAAUAACGUUUGGAAACGAACGCUAAUACCGCAUACGCCCGCAAGGGGAAAGAUUUAUCGGUGAUGGAUGUGCCCGCGUUGGAUUAGCUAGUUGGUGGGGUAAUGGCCUACCAAGGCGAUGAUCCAUAGCUGGUCUGAGAGGACGAUCAGCCACGCUGGAACUGAGACACGGUCCAGACUCCUACGGGAGGCAGCAGCUAAGAAUAUUGGGCAAUGGAGGAAACUCUGACCCAAGCCAUGCCGCGUGAAUGAAGAAGGCCUUCGGGUUGUAAAGUUCUUUUAGUCAUGAAGAUGAUGACAGU
rnacentral:rRNA from 1 species